GCAGACAUCAUGGCUAAUGGAGAAGUUAAAAGUUCAACGGAGCGCAUAGAGAUUUGAAGCUCAUGGGGUUCCCAAAGCCUGACUUGUAUCAUAGUGGAGACUUCUGGGAAAAUCAAGCAUCUGAUCUGGAAUGAUCCCCAGAAAACAAGACAGUACGCAUUCUGCAAUAUUUAUCUGAUAUUUAUUUUUGUAUACACACAGUAAGACGUUCCACAGAGAUUAAUGCUUAAUGCUUAUAUAUAGACCAUCAAGAUCUGAAGUGACUUGAUGUGGAUUAGAAGGAUUAGAAGAUUAUAAAAAUGGGUGUAACACUAUAGGGACACAUAUAUUGUAAUACUUGGUUUUAAAUUCUCAAGCCAUCAGCUAUUGUUUUCACAUGUUUUUCUGUAUGCUGAUCAUCGUCAGCGGAUUUCUGAAUAUAGUGAUCAGUAUAAGAAGAUUGCGCACCCUGUAAUCACAAAGAUUUUGGAAACUAUGGUACUAUAUACAUGAUGUAACAAUCAUAUAUUUUUUAUUGCAUUUAGUUUUUUGAAAAUAAAGGUGUGACAAGAGCAAUUAUUGUUUUGCUAA